rnacentral:rRNA from 1 species
UACGGGGGGGGCAAGCGUUGUUCGGAAUUACUGGGCGUAAAGGGCUUGUAGGUGGCCAACUAAGUCAGACGUGAAAUCCCUCGGCUUAACCGGGGAACUGCGUCUGAUACUGGAUGGCUUGAGUGUGGGAGAGGGAUGCGGAAUUCCAGGUGUAGCGGUGAAAUGCGUAGAUAUCUGGAGGAACACCGGUGGCGAAGGCGGCAUCCUGGACCGGCAUUGACGCUGAGGCGCGAAAGCGUGGGGAGCGAACAGG